ensembl:lncRNA
AGAAAUCUCAAACUGUCAGGAAAAACAAACCAUGCCCUACAGACAUAAUAGAAGAGUGAAGAAAAAGCACAGAAAGGAAACUAGAAUUCAUCUUAAUUUAACAAAAGCCUGCUAUAUUUGCCAACAGUGUGGUAGAGUGUACUUCUGGUUGGUGUUGCCAAAUUGAUGUCUAAAUGCUGAAGUAUGUUCUUGGCCCAGACCACUCCUUUCUGUUAUUUAGGAAAUGGUUUUACUCCUGAAGAGUGCAUUUCUAUGGCUCACAAGUGAAUAUACACGGAUCAGAGCAAGGUCUUGUGCGGCAAGAUUCGGAGGAGGGUGGGGAGGAGGAAGGUGUUGCUGCAAGAGUGACCUAUUUCGGAACAUUCCAGAAGCCAACUCUUGUAAAAGCCAAUAUCAGCAAGCCCCAAAAGAGCAUGGAGCAGAAGUUCUGCUGCAGCCUAUGGAAAGAAAUCUGAGGUGGAGCAUGAUGUCUGCGGAAGCUGUUGUUCAUCUGGAAACCUACACUGGAGCAGUCCACUCCUGAAGUGUGGACCCUGCGGUAUGGACCCAAAUUAGAGCAGUGCUUGGAGAGCUGUAGUCUGUGGGAUGCCUACGUUAUAUAAGUUUGGGAAGGGUGGAACCUUGUGGGAGUGACCCCACAUUGGAGCAGGGGCAAAGUAUUGCUGCGAAGGUGCAUCAGAGAUGAAGUGUUAUGGAACACUACCCUUGUUCCAUUGUGCUGUUUGGAGGGAGAAGAGGUAAAAGAGAGUGGAUUUGAGGGAAGGUGGUUUUAGUUUGGUUUCAGUUAUAUUAGUCUGCCUUAUGCUGUGUCUGUUUAUCCUGUGACAAUUGGUGAGUGAUCUCCCUGCCUCUAUCUCAACUUCAGUCCUUUUUUCAUCUCAGUUUCUUCCCCAUUCUUUUUGAGGAGGAGUGAGAGAGUGAUAUGGUGGAGUUUAGAUAGCCAUCAGUUUGAAACCACCCAACUAAAGAAGAGUCAUUUAGUUAGUUCUGCAAAUGACUAAUGAUUCUGUAGCUUUGGAUUGAUCAAUGCCUAGCAUUCAAAUGAACAAAUACUUAUUUUCUAAAUAAACACUGGAGUACAAAAUAAAUCCAAAACAUAAUAUAUUAUCUAAAAUAGGUUUUCACAAGGCCUUAUAGUAUUUCCUAAAAUGCAGUAAAUCUUUUAGUGGAAAUGCCAUUAAUUUCUUCCUUGAUGGGGAACACUGAGGAGAAUAUGCCAGACUUGCAGCCAAAUUUACAUUAGCUCUUUUUAUACUAUUGUAUGAUCUCAGCUUUUCUAGCUUGAAACGAUGUCAUGGAUACAAUUAUGUACUUCACUCUUAAGAUAUAUGCAGCAGUAUAAUUACUGAUAGAAAAGAGUGAUUUAAUAAAUCUUAAUAAUAAGACAGAAACUAGUUUUGAGAUGACAAGGUACACUUGAUUAUUUACUUCAUAGAGUUAAACAUACUCAUCCAGGAGAUACUACCAUUGAGAAUUAGUUUCAAAGUGGAUCCUCUUUCUUUCUAAAGGUCUGCUCAGAACUGCUAAAGGACUGCUAAGCAUUAGGCUAAAGGACUGCUCAACAUUAAUGACAUAAUAUGACUGAUUCAUAGUCAUAUUUGCAUACUGACUGCAGAUGUCACUUUCUUCCAAAUUUGUUUUGAAUCUGAUACUGACAAGAAUUGAGGUCGGGUGAGUGCAUUGCUCAAAUUGCCCCUUGGAUAUUAUGUUGUUAUCUGUUUUCCCUCAAUCUACAUUGAGUCAGAUGCAGACAUCAUGACUCAUUGCAUCCAUCAUGACUGUCACUGAUGGUUAUCUGCUCAAGUUGGAUUCAGCCUUCAUGACUGCCACUAGUGGCUAUUGCUUGAGAAAUGUUAAGGGAAACAAAGGUCAGGUUGAAAGGGGUGGGUUACAGAAAAUAAAUGCUGUAAAUUCUAGUUGUGUAAGUUAAAUUCAGAUAUGGUUAUGUUAUCUGAAUAUAGGUUUAUAAAUUUAUACAAAGACCCAACAAGGAUCAGAUGAAUGAUGAUCAGUAGAAGAUAUGAGACAUAUAGGAGAUAGCUUGAAGGCAGAAAACAAGAGGAACCAGGGAUGACUGAGGAUGAAAACCUGUGAAAAUAGAAGGAAAGAUAAUAGAUGUGCCUGCAUAUGUGGAGGCAGAUGCUGGUUUGUCAGCACGUCUCUGUGUGUCUGACUGAAUUCUGCACUUUCUCAAUUUGUUUGUUCUAUCUACUUAUGAAAUCUUGCCUCUAACUGUCUUCUGUGGGUGUGUGUAUGCCUCUCAGGAACUGUGCUUGGCAUCCUUACUCCCUGUCUCCUAGGAAAAGGAAUUGCAGCAGGCUCACAUCUACAAGUCUGCGACAGAAGGUACCUCACAGGUACUGUAGACUACCAAAUUCAAUAAUCUUAAAUGAGUUAUAUUACCUGAUAUUCUCCAUACCUCAUCUACUAUACUUAGAUAAUAUCACCUAUUCAUUUUUUUUUCAGUCUUGAUCAUCAUUCAUAUGAUAAUGCUAAUUUUAACCUUAGUGUUUGCACCUGAGUCUCUGAACUUCAAAACCAACCCUGAAGAUGUAUAUAGCUAUGUCAAUAACAUUUCUCAUGUCAGUUAAGCAACCACUGUUAAUUCUAGUAUAUCUAUAGCAGAUAUUUCACUCUACUGUGUAUUGAUAUGCCUUUUUUUUCAAAUGGACAUGCCAUUUAGUGAUAUUCCUAUGGUGUUCCCUGUGGUGGUGAUAUGUAAAUCUGACCUUAAAGCACAUUUUUCAGUAUGACAGAACUGAAAUGGAACCACAGUUAUCUGACACAAUUUCUCUUCUAGAAAUUGAUAUUAAAUAAAUAUUGAG